AAAUUGAAGAGUUUGAUCAUGGCUCAGAUUGAACGCUGGCGGCAGGCCUAACACAUGCAAGUCGAACGGUAACAGGAAGCAGCUUGCUGCUUCGCUGACGAGUGGCGGACGGGUGAGUAAUGUCUGGGAAACUGCCUGAUGGAGGGGGGUAACUACUG
rnacentral:rRNA from 1 species